AACUCUUAGCGGUGGAUCACUCGCUCGUGCGUCGAUGAAGAACGCAGCUAGCUGCGAGAACUAAUGUGAAUUGCAGGACACAUUGAUCAUCGACCUUCGAACGCACCUUGCGCCCCGGUUCCUCCCGGGCUACGCCUGUCUGAGAGUCG
ensembl:rRNA 5_8S_rRNA 5.8S ribosomal RNA